ACGUAGGGGGCAAGCGUUAUCCGGAAUUAUUGGGCGUAAAGAGUGCGUAGGUGGUUUUUUAAGCGUGAGGUGAAAGGCAAUAGCUUAACUAUUGUAAGCCUUGCGAACUGGAAGACUUGAGUGCAGGAGAGGAAAGUGGAAUUCCUAGUGUGUCUGUGACAUGCGUAGAUAUUACGAGGAGCAACAGUAGCGAAGGCAACAAACAGGACUAUAACCGCCACUAAUGCAAGAGAGUGUGGAAAGCAAAGAG
rnacentral:rRNA from 1 species